GGAGAAGGGACCUGGAGUCAGUUGGCUGCUCUGUGAAGAGUAAAGUCAGUGCUCUGAGGAGUAACCCAUGAGAAAACACCACAAAAGUAUGGAACUUUUGCGAUAAGGAGACAAAAAUACUUGGCUCUGACUUCAACAGUAAGAGUGUCAAGCUGUUUUGAAUUCCUGUUAUCUCUAAAAAGCAAAGUGCCUUGUGACAGAUGUCACAGAUGGGAAGUUGAGGAAAAGAAGAUUUUGGAGCAAACUUGAACCAAUUCAACAGAGCAUUAAAAAAGUCUGGAAUUGAGGUCAGUAGCCUGGCUGAUUAUCACAAACUUGGACUUCCCUUUGAAGUGUUGUAAGGACAUCUAUGCCUUUACUACUGGUCGUCAGAUGGGGUAGAUUAAAACCUUUUAUAGAAACAAUCUUUGAGUGAG